UAGGGAAUAUUGGGCAAUGGGCGAAAGCCUGACCCAGCGACGCCGUGUGAGGGAUGAAGGCCUUCGGGUUGUAAACCUCUAACGCCGAUCAAGAAGUGUACGGGUGUGAACAACAUCAGUAUGCAGACGAGUCGGGGAUGAAGUCAUGGCUAACUCUGUGCCAGCAGCAGCGGUAAUACAGAGAUGACAACCGUUAUUCGGAAUCACUGGGCUUAAAGGGCACGUAGGCGGUGAGUUAAGUUGGUUGUGAAAUAUCACGUUUUAAGCGUGGAACGUCAGCCAAGACUGACUUGCUUGAGGAUGGCAGGGGAGAGUGGAAUUCCUGGUGGAGCGGUGAAAUGCGUUGAUAUCAGGAGGAACACCGGAGGCGAAGGCGACUCUCUGGGCCAUACCUGACGCUGAGGUGCGAAAGCUAGGGGAGCAAACG
rnacentral:rRNA from 1 species